rnacentral:rRNA from 1 species
UUGGAGGGCAAGUCUGGUGCCAACAGCCGCGGUAAUUCCAGCUCCAAUAGCGUAUAUUAAAGUUGUUGCAGUUAAAAAGCUCGUAGUUGAAUUUCGGGAUUAGUACGUCGGUCGUGCCUUAGGUACGUACUGGUGUUACUGGUUCCUACCUUCUGACGAACCAUCAUGUCACUAAUUUGGUGUGGUGGGGAAUCAGGACUGUUACUUUGAAAAAAUUAGAGUGUUUAAAGCAGGC